rnacentral:lncRNA from 1 species
CUAAAGGGGAGAGGGCAAGGCAACCAUUCUUAAAGAAAGAUACAGGGAAGCACCUUGAGGGAAAGAUGAGAACCUCUUUCCUGUAGCAGCAUCCAGUGACUUCAAAUCUUGUGUUAAUGCUAAUGGUUUGAAGCUGCACUCAGGUGUGUGAGAACACAGGGUUUGAGGUGCUCCGAUCCACACACCUGCUCGCAGGAACUGAUGGGGCUGAACUGCGAGCUGACCAGUGAGCAGCAGGUCUCCAUGGAGAUGAGGCUCACUCCUGGCGUAAAAUAAUGCCUCUCAAAGAGAAAAAGAAGAUUCUCUACAAUCUCACUGCAAAUGCAAACAUAAGAAUUUUAAAUUCAACAUCAUCCAACCGACUCCAGCUGCGCUGUCCAACAUAUCCUGUCCUGUCUCCAUCACCAGCAUCACCACCUCACGCUAGAAGGAGACUCAAUCGGGAUUUUGUGAGUAGGCAACCCUGAGCCACCCGAGACAAGAUGGCACAGGCCAGGAAACAGCAAGUGAAGGUCUCUGAGGUGGAACAAUGGCCACAGAGCUUGAGAAACUGUCUAGGGUAGGGUGCAAAUAGAAUAAAGUGACCCAGAGAGAGAUUUGUGGGAAAUGAGUUCACGGAGGUAACCAGCAGCAAGUUCAUGAACGAUCUUGUAAUGAAUGGUGAGAAAGAUUUAAAACUUAAUCCAAAUAUAAUAGGAAGCAUUCUUCAGAGCACAGAAGUGAUCACUUUUAGCAGGCAUUAACACUCUGCCUUCUGUACAGAGGCCAGGCAAGCUAG